UGCUCAUUCAGUGGUGAGCACAGUCAGCAAUGGAACCACCAGAUGUUUCUUGGGUCUUCUUCCUUUCAAGGUGUGCUCCAUCUCUCUCUGAUGGACAAGGUGAAUAUGGCUCAUUGGCACCCAUCUGAUUCCUUCUCCAUUUGUGGAGAUACAAACAAACCCUCUCCCCCAAGCAGUUUAUCUAUCCGGUCCCUUCCAUUCACCACUUUCUGAGCCUCUCCACAUCACCUGGCGAUUAAAGAUAAUGGAGAGGCUCGCACUGGACACUGCCCUUCCGGUGGGUUAUAAAACCUGCCUGCCACAGCCAAUGCACCUUGUCAAACAUCAAGAAAUAGUAUAAAGAGCUAGAUUUACAAGUUCUCUAGGGUUGUCUGUGGCUCCCCCUUACUUUUGUUUUCAGAGGAGCAUCUUAAUGUCUCUGUUUCUCUUCUCUACUAUUGCCUGUACUUGAGGAUUAAAAGGUAUGCUAGUGGUGUGUAAAAUCUUACACUGCGCACAAAAGUGUGCAAAAUGUUCAGAAGUAUAUGCAGGUCCAUUGUCUGUUUUCCUUGCUUGUGGCACACCCAUAAUUGCAAAUGCUUGUAUAAGGAAUUCAGUGAUCACUCAGGCUGUCUCUUUUGCUGCUGAUAUUGUAAAAGUGAAUCCUGAAAAGGUGUCUACCACAACAUGGAAAAAAGACAUACGACCAAAAGAUUUAUAAUGGGUCAAAUCCAUUUGCCACAUUUCAAUGGGUCUCAAACCACAAGGGUUCUUCUCUGGAGGCAGUGUAGGAGCGUGGAAGGGAAGGCAAGGUGUACAGGUUUUUACUAUGCUCCUACCCUCCUCUCUUGUUAUUCCAAAUUGUAAGCGUAAAGCUCGAGCAGCCUGAUGAUAUUCAGAACGAGAUUCUUGGGCUGCCUGAAAUAAAGGAGUAUUGACUACAUGGUUAGAAGGCUAUCUGCCUUUGAAUUACCAUCAAAAAUACCAUCUCUCUGAUAGACAAGGUGAAUAUGGCUCAUUGGCACCCAUCUGAUUCCUUCUCCAUUUGUGGAGAUACAAGCAAACCCUCUCCCCCAAGCAGUUUAUCUAUCCGGUCCCUUCC